UCACAUGAAAUCAGUUAGUAUAGGAAGCAGAAUGAGUAAUGUCUUAGGGGGACAAGAAGAGAGGAUUCAGUAUUUCUUUCCUUCGUGACUCCCUUCUCUGUCUCUGACUUACCUGCAUGGCUUCUCCUGUACUAUAUAUGUUUCCAAUGAGGCCAUCUUCCUUUUUCUGAGACAGAAUCUUCCUUAUCAGUGACUCUAUAUGACCACCAAUGAUCUCUAAAUCCUGUCUAUACAUUAUGUUCUGACUAUUUGUUUUAUCCCUCUUCACACAGGUCAGAGCCAGGACAGCCAUCGCACCAGUAUCUGCCAGGAAAUAAAACAUCAGUGAUAAGGGUAUCAACAUUCUCAGACCUCUUGUAACUCUGACAAUAAUCCUGUGAGCUUCCUGACGAGCCCUACCCUGUCUGGUUGUGAACUCAGCUCACAUAACACUGUCCAUGGGAGAGGAGGAAAUAAGAAAUGCACACUGAGAACACGUUAAGGAACAGGAACGCUAGGAACAGAGGUGGCGUUAAUACAUUUAGUAACAGAUACGGUGCCCACGGAGCGAUCCUGCGGCCACGGGCUAUGUUGCUGGAACAAUCCACAGGUUAAUAUCGACAGAAAGAAGGCAGCAGCAUUAAGUUACGGUGGUGACUGACCCCAGAGCUGAAUUGUCUGCUUGCCCAACCGGCCUGGCAUCAAGAUCGUUAUUUAGCAGCAUGGACCUUUCAGAAAACCCUCUAAUCGUAGCCCACAUCUCAAGGGAAAGGAUGAGGAGAGUCACAUUCUACUGUGGAAGUGAAAAGAGGGUCCAGAGACCCCAAGAACUGGAGGCAAAUAAGGAGAGUUCAUUACCAGUUAAAACAUUCUUAAAUAUACUUUGUUCAGGAGCACCUGGUUGGUUCAGUUGGUUAAAUGGUUGACUCUUGAUUUCAGCUCAGGUUAUGACUUCAGGGUUGUGGGAUCAAACCCAACG